rnacentral:rRNA from 1 species
AUACGGAGGUUCCGAGCGUUAUCCGGAUUUAUUGGGCUUAAAGGGAGCGCAGGCGGCCAUUUAAGUCUGAGGUUAAAUCGUUCGGCUCAACUCCGGUCUGCCGUUGAUACUGGGUGGCUUGAUUGCGGUCGGGGUUGGCGGGAUUUCUUGUGGAGCCGUGAAAUGCAUAGAUAUGACGAAGAACACCGAUUGCGUAGGCAGCUGACCAGACCGCAAAUGACAGGCAUGCACGAAAGUGCAGGGAUCGAACAGGAUUAGAUACCCUGGUAGUCCGCACAGUAAACGAUGAAUACUUGUUUUCGGCGAUAUAAUGUCGGAGGCAAAGCGAAAGCGAUAAGUACUCCGCCUGGGGAGUACGACGGCAACGGUGAAACUCAAAGGAAUUGGCGGGG